rnacentral:rRNA from 1 species
CGCGUAGGUGGCUUGUCAGGUCCGAUGUGAAAACCUGGGGCUCAACCCCAGGCCUGCAUCGGAAACCGGCUUGCUAGAGUCUGGGAGAGGAGAGUGGAAUUCCUGGUGUAGCGGUGAAAUGCGUAGAUAUUAGGAGGAACACCGGUAGCGAAGGCGGCUCUCUGGAACAGUACUGACGCUGAGGCGCGAAAGCUAGGGGAGCGAACAG